GUCGAGCGGCAGCGCGGGGGCAACCCUGGCGGCGAGCGGCGAACGGGUGAGUAACAUAUCGGAACGUACCCUGUCGUGGGGGAUAACACAGCGAAAGCUGUGCUAAUACCGCAUACGACCUGAGGGUGAAAGCGGGGGACCGUAAGGCCUCGCGCGACAGGAGCGGCCGAUAUCGGAUUAGCUAGUUGGUGAGGUAAAGGCUCACCAAGGCGACGAUCCGUAGCGGGUCUGAGAGGACGACCCGCCACACUGGAACUGAGACACGGUCCAGACUCCUACGGGAGGCAGCAGUGGGGAAUUUUGGACAAUGGGGGCAACCCUGAUCCAGCCAUUCCGCGUGAGUGAAGAAGGCCUUCGGGUUGUAAAGCUCUUUCGGCAGGAACGAAACGGUGGUCCCUAAUACGGGCUACUAAUGACGGUACCUGAAGAAGAAGCACCGGCUAACUACGUGCCAGCAGCCGCGGUAAUACGUAGGGUGCGAGCGUUAAUCGGAAUUACUGGGCGUAAAGCGUGCGCAGGCGGUUAUGUAAGACAGGUGUGAAAUCCCCGGGCUUAACCUGGGAACUGCGCUUGUGACUGCAUAACUCGAGUGUGGCAGAGGGGGGUGGAAUUCCACGUGUAGCAGUGAAAUGCGUAGAGAUGUGGAGGAACACCGAUGGCGAAGGCAGCCCCCUGGGUCAACACUGACGCUCAUGCACGA
rnacentral:rRNA from 1 species